UACGUAGGGUGCGAGCGUUGUCCGGAAUCAUUGGGCGUAAAGAGCUCGUAGGCGGUUCAGUAAGUCAGGUGUGAAAGCUCCGAGCUCAACUCGGAGAGGCCACCUGAUACUGCUGUGACUAGAAUCCAGUAGGGGAGUGUGGAACUCCUGGUGUAGCGGUGAAAUGCGCAGAUAUCAGGAGGAACACCGGUGGCGAAGGCGGUCUGCUGGGCAGUUGCUGACACUGAGGCGCGACAGCGUGGGGAGCAAACAGG
rnacentral:rRNA from 1 species